rnacentral:rRNA from 1 species
GAGCACGUAGGUGGGUUUGUAAGUCAGAUGUGAAAGCCUUCUGUUCAAAGGAAGAACGGCAUCUGAAACUGCAGAUCUUGAGUGUAGGAGGGGAGAGUGGAACUUCUGGUGGAGCGGUGAAAUGCGUAGAUAUCAGAAGGAACGUCGGCGGCGAAAGCGACUCUCUGGCCUAUUACUGACACUGAGUGUGCGAAAGUUGGGGGAGCAAACGGGAUUAGAUACCCCGGUAGUCCUAACUGUAAACGAUGGGCACUAAGUAGAGGGGCUUU